rnacentral:rRNA from 1 species
CCUACGGGUGGCAGCAGUGGGGAAUAUUGCACAAUGGGGGAAACCCUGAUGCAGCAAAGCAGCGUGAGUGAAGACGUAUUUCGGUAUGUAAAGCUCUUUCAGCAGGGAAGAAAAUGACAGUACCUGACUAAGAAGCCCCGGCUAACUACGUGCCAGCAGCCGCGGCAAUACGUAGGGGGCAAGCGUUAUCCGGAUGUACUGGGUGUAAAGGGGGCGUAGACGGCUUCGCAAGUCAGAAGUGAAAGCCUGGGGCGCAACCGUGGGACUGCUUUUGAAACUGUGAAGCUAGAGUGCAGGUGAGGUAAGUGGAAUUCGUGGUGUAGCGGUGAAAUGCGUAGAUAUUAGGAGGAACACCGGUGGCGAAGGCGGCUUACUAGACUGUAACUGACGUUGAGGCUCGAAAGCGUGGGGAGCAAACAGGAUUAGAUACCCCGGUAGUC